AUUGAACGCUGGCGGCAUGCCUUACACAUGCAAGUCGAACGGCAGCACGGGGGCAACCCUGGUGGCGAGUGGCGAACGGGUGAGUAAUGCAUCGGAAUGUACCCAGUAGUGGGGGAUAACUAGUCGAAAGACUAGCUAAUACCGCAUACGCACUACGGUGGAAAGCGGGGGAUCGCAAGACCUCGCGCUAUUGGAGCAGCCGCUGUCCGAUUAGGUAGUUGGUGGGGUAAUGGCCUACCAAGCCCGCGAUCGGUAACUGGUCUGAGAGGACGACCAGUCACACUGGGACUGAGACACGGCCCAGACUCCUACGGGAGGCAGCAGUGGGGAAUUUUGGACAAUGGGCGAAAGCCUGAUCCAGCAAUGCCGCGUGUGUGAAGAAGGCCUUCGGGUUGUAAAGCACUUUUGGCAGGAAAGAAAUAGUGCGUGCUAAUACCAUGCGCGAAUGACGGUACCUGCAGAAUAAGCACCGGCUAACUACGUGCCAGCAGCCGCCGUAAUAC
rnacentral:rRNA from 1 species